AACGAACGCUGGCGGCAUGCCUAACACAUGCAAGUCGAACGAGACCUUCGGGUCUAGUGGCGCACGGGUGCGUAACGCAUGGGAACCUGCCCUUAGGUUCGGAAUAACUCCCCGAAAGGGGUGCUAAUACCGGAUAAUGUCUUCGGACCAAAGAUUUAUCGCCUUUGGAUGGGCCCGCGUUGGAUUAGCUUGUUGGUAGGGUAAAAGCCUACCAAGGCGACGAUCCAUAGCUGGUCUGAGAGGAUGAUCAGCCACACUGGGACUGAGACACGGCCCAGACUCCUACGGGAGGCAGCAGUGGGGAAUAUUGGACAAUGGGCGAAAGCCUGAUCCAGCAAUGCCGCGUGAGUGAUGAAGGCCUUAGGGUUGUAAAGCUCUUUUACCCGGGAUGAUAAUGACAGUACCGGGAGAAUAAGCUCCGGCUAACUCCGUG
rnacentral:rRNA from 1 species